GCCAUCAGCCCAGAGCCUGAUGCAGGGCUCGAACUCACGGACUGUGAGAUCGUGACCUGAAGUCGGACGCUUAACUGACUGAGCCACCCAGGCACCCCUGGUAAUUUGUUUUUAAUGCUAACCAUCUGCAAAUAAAAAUCUUGCUUCCUCUUUGCCCAUAUUUAUACCUUUCCUAGCAACAAAAGUCAUACACAGAAUAAACUGUCUUAAAUGCCUGGUGAGACCUACCUUGUCAUGGGAUGAUUACACAUGAAUCCCUGCCCCACACAUACUGGAAGAUGCAAGGUCGUCAGCCCACGGACCCCGAAAUAUGAAGCUGGUCUGGUAUCUUAUUGGACAUAGAGGGCUCCAAAGAUCCAUUCCUCUCCAGAGGCCAGGAGAUAAUGCCAAACUCAAUGGUAGCAAUUUUCUACCUUAAGAGGUUACAGUGCAAGCAAAUUCAACUCCUUUGUGAAUGGUGUCCAUCGGAGCAAAAGAAGGUUUUUGUCCCCAGGAUCACAGCUGCAGUGAAAAAGUUUACAAAGGCAGCUCUAUUGUGGUUGGGGUAUUGGAAGAAGCUGCAGUCUUCAAGCAAAAGCAUUUGUGAACAGGUCCUUUACAGCUGUCCCCAUGCUCAGAAAGCGUAAAAGGAAAAGCUGGCUUUCUUGGCCUCCUAAGUCAUUACCUAAGAAAAGACUCCCAACAAUUCCCAGUGAGGCUAAUGAUGGCAGGAGGAUCCCAAUUCCUCUCAGUCUUUAGAACCAUCAGCAAGAGAUUUUUACACCUCCAAGGAGUCCUAAAAGAAUGUCAGCCAUGGAAGAAGGCCUCCUAUGAUUGUCUUGUGACAAGUAUCAACCACGAGAUAUUGACCGUGGGACUGAAGGAUGCUUCCCUACUCUCAGCCCCUCACCCUUUGGAGGGUGCAUUUGUUUGUUCCUCUUUGGUUCCGGACCCAAGUACCAACCCUCCCUAGCCUGUUUCCUUCCUACAAGAGGAUCUGGAGAGGAGCCUUCUGGAGAGCAGAGGGGGAUAAGGUGGCUCAUCUGCACGCAUCUGGGUGCAGAGCACUGUCACAGACCAGGUUUCAAUUUUGAUCCACACAAGAAAAUAUCCUCCCUUGUCAAUACAGGGUGCAGUGUUGUGAGAGAUAGUGUUGAAUAACAGUAUUACGUUUUGCUG